AGUUUACCGAAGCUGUGGAGUGCACCGUAAGGUGCAUUGGUAGGAGAGCGUUCUAAGGGCGUUGAAGGUAGAUCGUGAGGACUACUGGAGCGCUUAGAAGUGAGAAUGCCGGUAUGAGUAGCGAAAGACAGGUGAGAAUCCUGUCCACCGUAUGACUAAGGUUUCCUGGGGAAGGCUCGUCCGCCCAGGGUUAGUCGGGACCUAAGCCGAGGCCGACAGGCGUAGGCGAUGGACAACAGGUUGAUAUUCCUGUACCCGUUGUUUUUGUUUGAGCAAUGGAGGGACGCAGGAGGCUAAGAAGUGCAGACUGAUGGAUAUGUCUGUUCAAGCAGUGAGUCUUAGUGGGAGUCAAAUGCUUCUACUUUCAAGGACAAGCUGUGAUGAGGAGGGAAAUAAUAGUACCGAAGCUUCUGAUGUCACACUGCCAAGAAAAGCUUCUAGUGAGAAAACAAUGGCCCGUACCGCAAACCGACACAGGUAGU
rnacentral:rRNA from 1 species